rnacentral:rRNA from 2 species
UACGUAGGAGGCAAGCGUUGUCCGGAAUUACUGGGUGUAAAGCGCGUGUAGGCGGCAGGCCAAGUCUGUGGUGAAAUCGCUCGGCUCAACUGGGCGGGGUCCAUGGAAACUGGUCAGCUGGAGGACGGUAGAGGUGAGUGGAAUUCCCGGUGUAGUGGUGAAAUGCGUAGAGAUCGGGAGGAACACCCGUGGCGAAGGCGGCUCACUGGGCCGGUCCUGACGCUGAGACGCGAAGGCGUGGGGAGCGAACGGG